GACGUAGGAGGCGAGCGUUGUCCGGAUUCAUUGGGCGUAAAGAGCACGCAGGCGGUUUGGCAAGUCGGAUGUGAAAACCCGAAGCUCAACUUCGGGCCUGCAUCCGAAACUGCCCGACUAGGAGUAGGUAGGGGAGAUGGGAAUUCCUGGUGUAGCGGUGAAAUGCGCAGAUAUCAGGAGGAACACCGGUGGCGAAGGCGGAUCUCUGGGCCUUACCUGACGCUCAGGUGCGAAAGCUAGGGGAGCGAACAGG
rnacentral:rRNA from 1 species